rnacentral:rRNA from 1 species
GAUCAUGGCUCAGGACGAACGCUGGCGGCGCGCCUAACACAUGCAAGUCGAACGGAGCUUUAGAGAGCUUGCUUUUUAAGCUUAGUGGCGAACGGGUGAGUAACGCGUGAGUAACCUGCCCUAGAGUGGGGGACAACAGUUGGGAAACGACUGCUAAUACCGCAUAAGCCCACGGUACCGCAUGGUACUGAGGGAAAAGGAUUUAUUCGCUUUUAGGAUAGGACUCGCGUCCAAUUAGCUAGUUGGUGAGGUAACGG